rnacentral:rRNA from 1 species
AGAGUUUGAUCCUGGCUCAGGACGAACGCUGGCGGCGUGCUUAACACAUGCAAGUCGAGCGGUAAGGCCCUUCGGGGUACACGAGCGGCGAACGGGUGAGUAACACGUGGGUAAUCUGCCCUGCACUCUGGGAUAAGCCCGGGAAACUGGGUCUAAUACCGGAUACGACUACACGAGGCAUCUUGUGUGGUGGAAAGUUC